AUUGCUCUAGUUGUCAUGUCAAAAAACUACUUAGACAGACUAUGAAGAGAUACAUAGGGUGAGAAACGGAGGCCUUCAGCCAACAGCUGGGAGAAGCUGAGUCCCAUCAGCCAUUCAAAAGACUGCAGCCCCAGCCAAGAGUUUGAUGUAACCUCAGGAGAGACCCUGAGCCAGAACCACCUAGAAAAGCUGGGAUACAUGAAGACUGCCAUCCCUUGAGUCACUUGCCCUGUAGCUGCCACUGUUGGAAAAGGGCUUGCUUCUGUGUCCUUGUGCCCACUUUGAAAAUCCCUGGGAAGUCCUUGGAGUCAGAUGAGCAGGCCUCCGCCACUCUGCCAAAAAGUCUGUUCAAUCAGGAGUCCCCAACCCCUGAGCCAUGGACUGAUAUGGAGCUAUGGUCUGUUAGGAACUGGGCUGCCCAGGAGGAGCAAUGGUGCUUCUACAAUUUCCUUAUAGGAGGAGUGAAGAGUAAGCAUUUGGAUUGGACCAGGAUUUGGAGAACUUGUCAUGUUGCUCUACGUGCAUAUGAAAUACAUCAUUGUAACUUAGAAUGUGAAUUACAGAACAAACAUGAAAGUUAGAAAAA
rnacentral:lncRNA from 1 species